rnacentral:lncRNA from 1 species
GUUUUUAGUCAGUAACCCUCUUAUUAUAAAACGCGGUAUCAAAUAAGUAUCGGCUUUUGUACUACCUUUAAUCCACCUUUAAGUACGACCUUGAAAAAACGUUAUUACAAAACGCAGUUUAUCGCAAGUCCUAUUACUAUCUGUAGUACAAAAGAUAAACCAUCGAGCCCCCUAGUUUAACUGCAGUACUUAGUCGACAAACGUCAAAUUCCGACAUUAUUUACUUUUGAGGUUAUUUGUUUUGUGAUGAAAAAAACGAAAGUGGAUAUAAAUAUGUGUGAUUUGGAAUACUUGGAUGUGUUAGAAUACUAUUGAGAGUGUUCGGGGACCCAACAGAAUGCGUCAUCGACAAAAUCUCUUCAAAUUACCUGACGACAAUUUUCGAUAUAAAUAUCGAUUUACGUUUUUCGAAAUAAUAGUCAAUUGAAUGCAUGAUGAUAAUCCAGGAUGAUUCUAUGAUGCUCAACUGGGCUCGCCAUAAAAUUCAAGACUAUUUUGGCGUUUUGCACGCCGUAUCUCUGCCAGUAAUAUGCAAUGUUUGUAAAAGACUGGAAGCUUGCUAAAAUGUACAAAAAUGCCUAGAUGAGAAAGGGAACAAGAUUGUGUGAUGAAGAACAGUGUCCAACAUGUAUCAGUGCAUUUGACUGUAUAAAUAGACAUCGGAAUAAAAUAUAUUUUCUACUUU